AUUGAACGCUGUCGGCAGGCCUAACACAUGCAAGUCGAGCGGAGCGGCGGACGGGUGAGUAAUGCCUAGGAAUCUACCCGGUAGUGGGGGACAACGUCCGGACACGGGCGCUAAUAACGCAUAAUAUCAGACAAGCCUAGGUCGGAUUAGCUAGUUGGGGGGGUAAAGGCCUACCAAGGCGACGAUCCGUAACUGGUCUGAGAGGAUGAUCAGUCACACUGGGACUGAGACACGGUCCAUACUCCUACGGGAAGCAGCAGUGGUGAAUAUUGGACAAUGGGCGAAAGCCGUAUCCAGCCAUGCCGCGUGUAUGAAGAAGGUCUUCGGGUUAGAAUGCACUGUGAGUUAGAAGGCGGUACCAACAGAAUAAACACCAACAAACUUCGUACCAGCAGCCGCGGUAAUUC
rnacentral:rRNA from 1 species